rnacentral:rRNA from 1 species
AAAGACUUGACGGUACCUUACAACAACCUAGAGGAGCCUGUCUAAUAACCGAUACCCCACGAUUAACCCGACCCACCCUAGCCCACCAGUCUAUAUACCGCCGUCACCAGCUCACCCUGUGAAAGAAACAAAGUGAACCUAAUAGGCCACCCCUAACAUGACAGGUCGAGGUGUAACAAAUGGGUGGGUAAAAGAUGGGCUACAUUUUCUCUUAGCAGAAAACACGGACAAACCAUGAAACUAGAAACUGAAGGCGGAUUUAGCAGUAUGUUAAAGACACAAUACUUA